UUGGAGGGCAAGUCUGGUGCCAGCAGCCGCGGUAAUUCCAGCUCCAAUAGCGUAUAUUAAAGUUGUUGCAGUUAAAAAGCUCGUAGUUGAAUUUCGGGAUCAAUAUGCCGGUCAUGCCUUGGUAUGCACUGGUACCUUUGAUUUCUCCCUUCUGACGAACUUUGAUGUCAUUAAUUUGGUGUCAUAGGGAAUCAGGACUGUUACCUUGAAAAAAUUAGAGUGUUUAAAGCAGGCUAACGCUUGAAUACAUUAGCAUGGAAUAAUGAAAUAGGACAUCGCAUUCUAUUUUGUUGGUUUCUAGGAUCGAUGUAAUGAUUAAUAGGGAUAGUUGGGGGCAUUAGUAUUCAAUUGUCAGAGGUGAAAUUCUUGGAUUUAUUGAAGACUAACUACUGCGAAAGCAUUUGCCAAGGAUGUUUUCAUUAAUCAAGAACGAAAGUUAGGGGAUCGAAGACGAUCAGAUACCGUCGUAGUCUUAACCAUAAACUAUGCCGACUAGGGAUCGGAUGAUGUUGAUUUUUUAAUGACUCAUUCGGCGCCUUACGGGAAAC
rnacentral:rRNA from 1 species